AUGUCUGAUGUUGAUGAUGCCAGAUCAGCAGUGGAUGGUGAUAUAGAGGAAUGGGUCGAGGUUAACGAAGGAUACGAAGAGGUUGAUGAGGCAGAUGCAUAUGACAUGGAUGAUGAAAUGUCAGAUCCUUCUCUAGGAUUGGGUGACAAAGGAAAUGAUGUACAAGCUGUGGUCCUCGUUAACAAUGAGAAAACAAAGAGAGUGAUAAGGAAAAAGGCAACAGUUAAUGUUGGUAAUAAUGUUAAGGUGAGGAAAAGUAGAGUUAAGCGUGCACCAUGUUGGCAGCAUUUCAAGGAGGUCAAAGCUGUAUGCAAGAAGAAACCAGGGGCGGUCGUCACGAAGGCAAAAUGCUUGCAUUGUUGUAACUUGUUUGCUUAUACUCCAGGGGGACCAACUACUAGUCUCAAUCGGCAUGUAGAUGUUUGUGCGGACUAUCUAAACAAGAAGGGAAGACAACAGCGACAAGAUUGCAAGUCUCUUAAUAUUAAAGUUGGAAAAGGAUUAUGCCUAGAUGUAGCAACCAGAUGGAGUUCUACAUACAGAAUGAUAGAUGCUUGCACUUUGUAUAAGGAAGCUUUCCAUGAGUAUGCACAAUCAGAUCCUAAUUAUGAAUGGCAGCCCGAUGAUGAAGAUUUUGUACUAUAUGGCAGAAUUCAACCCAUCUUGAAAUCAUUUGCCGAGGUAACUACUAUACUAUCAGGAUCUACUUACCCCACUACCAACAUUUUUUAUCCAUACAUCAUGAAUGUUAAGAUUGCUAUAGUAGAGCAUGCUAUGUCCGGAGAUGACAAUUUGAAAAUGAUGGGGGAAGCCAUGCUUGAUAAGUUUGAUAAAUAUUGGGAUAGCACUGUUGUGCCAGAAAACAAAAAUCGGAAAGAUAAAAAAAGGGUAAAGAACAAUGUUAUGGUGAUUGCCACCAUUCUUGAUCCCAGAUUUAAGAUGAAACUUGUGGACUAUUGUUUUAAGAAAAUGUAUGGUAAAGAGAAGGGUAGUAGUGAGAUGGAAGAUAUCAAAACAGAAUUCUUUGAUCUGUAUGCCACAUAUGAGAUGGAAAAUCGUCAGCAUGAGGCUCCUAACACCAAUGAGCAGAGUUCAAUUUCAAGUAGGCAAGCAUCUACAUCUAUGACCACAUUGUCGAGUGGGUUUCAAUCCUUUCUCGAGGAGACAAAUUCGGGGCCAUGCAAAUCUGAAUUGACAAGUUAUCUUGAAGACAAGACUCAUCCCAUUAAUGAUCCAAAUUUCACAUUACUUGACUGGUGGAGGUUGAACGCUCAUAGAUAUCCUAUUGUGGCAAAAAUGGCAAAGAAGUUCUUGACUAUACCAGCUACUAGUGUUUCAUCAGAGUCAACAUUCUCUACAGGAGGUAGAGUUCUUGAUGACUACCGUAGUUCUCUACUCCCAAGCAUGGUUGAGGCACUUGUUUGUGCUUCUAGCUUCAUCAAAGGAUCAAAAGAAAACCACAUUAGGCCUACAACCAUAGUGGAAGAUGACAUUGAUGAUGAUGUUGAGUUCAUUCCAUUUCCUGAAUCUAUUGUGGAAAGCAACUAG
rnacentral:rRNA from 1 species